rnacentral:rRNA from 1 species
UACGUAGGGGGCAAGCGUUAUCCGGAUUUACUGGGUGUAAAGGGGGCGCAGACGGCGAUGCAAGCCAGGAGUGAAAGCCCGGGGCCCAACCCCGGGACUGCUCUUGGAACUGCGUGGCUGGAGUGCAGGAGGGGCAGGCGGAAUUCCUGGUGUAGCGGUGAAAUGCGUAGAUAUCAGGAGGAACACCCGUGGCGAAGGCGGCCUGCUGGACUGCAACUGACGUUGAGGCCCGAAAGCGUGGGGAGCAAACAGG